rnacentral:rRNA from 1 species
UACAGAGGGGGCAAGCGUUGUUCGGAAUUACUGGGCGUAAAGGGCGCGUAGGCGGCCUGUUAAGUCGAACGUGAAAUCCUCGGGCUCAACCCGGGAACUGCGUCCGAUACUGGCAGGCUUGAAUCCGGGAGAGGGAUGUGGAAUUCCAGGUGUAGCGGUGAAAUGCGUAGAUAUCUGGAGGAACACCGGUGGUGAAGGCGGCAUCCUGGACCGGUAUUGACGCUGAGGCGCGAAAGCUAGGGGAGCAAACAGG